GCUUGUCAGCCACGCACAUGCUAAAAUUGAAACGACACAAAGAAGAUUAGCAUGGGCCUUGUGUAAGGAUGAUAUGAAAAUUCAUGAAAUAUUCCAUUUUGUU
rnacentral:snRNA from 1 species